rnacentral:rRNA from 1 species
ACUCCUACGGGAGGCAGCAGUGAGGAAUAUUGGUCAAUGGAGGGAACUCUGAACCAGCCAUCCCGCGUGUAGGAAGACGGCCUUAUGGGUUGUAAACUACUUUUAUACAGGAAGAAACGUACCCUCUGAGGGUGCCUGACGGUACNGUAGGAAUAAGCGCCGGCUAACUCCGUGCCAGCAGCCGCGGUAAUACGGAGGGCGCAAGCGUUACUCGGAAUCACUGGGCGUAAAGAGCGUGUAGGCGGAUAGAUAAGUCAGGAGUGAAAUCCUAUGGCUCAACCAUAGAACUGCUCUUG